UGCAGCUAGCUGUGCUAACAGGGAUUUCCUGAGCGUUCAUGUGCGAAUAACCCAGCUAUGUAAACAAAGCCCAUCGGAGCUUGGAUUACAACACACAACCUCAUUCUCCGGUCAGGGAGCCUUUUAUUUUUUACAAAGGAAAGAGUUGUUAUUAGUUGUUAAAUUAAUGCUGUAAAUGUUGAAUACAGAACAUUUAGCAACCCAAAAUAAGAAAAAUCUGAAUCGCUGCUGAAAACAUGACCUUCGUCAUCCGUCCAUCUGGCUAUGAAUUGGUUUAACUCUUCAACACAGUGAAAUAAAAACAAAUACUUUUUCUACGUUUUAGAGAUAAGAAAUUAUGCUCAGAUUCUGAUGCCAACUUAGGUUGUAAUGAUGUCUACCAAAUACACCUCACAGGGCUCAAAAGAUAAUACCAGAAGACUGGAUUAAAAAGCCCAUUUAAUGAGCUUUUAUGGGCUCACUCGAACUUUUUUCUGUCAUCAAAUUGGUUCCAAAAAUGCAUUUGUGUUGUUGAAGUUCAUUUUGUGACUUUUUGUGACGAACGAGUCUGCUGAAAAGCAAAAGCUUAUCACAGCUGUCAUUUUGACCGAUUCUAGAAAAUGUGUCCUGCGUAGGCCUACUGCUAAUUAUUUUUUUACUUCUGGGGUCAGCCCGAAGUUCAAACACAAAUCAUCUCUCACAAUCUCACUUUGUGUUCUUAUGUCUCAGAUGUCCCCCCAUCCGCAUCCUGUUCUGGGAAAAGAAUCUUCUGUUAUUGAGAAUCCUGCAGGAAAGCAGAGCUUGCUGCGAUCUCCAUCGUACACACAUUUGCUUUUGUUUUACUUCUCUUGUGAUAAAGCUGUGAAACCUACAUGUCUUGGUGUGAAGACGCCUCAUCCGGCCAAAAGCAACAAAGGUUCAAAGCUCGACGAACUGGGUUCAAUUUGUAAUUUUAAAAUAAUCAGACCAACCUUAUUUUCUAUGAUUUAAUCAGUGGUCAUUAAGCAUCUCUAAAUUAUUUGGCUGUAACUUUGUCACUUUCCCACCUUUUACCGAUUUUGUUCCUUUCAUGGAGAUGGAGGAGAGACGCCUGCAUCGUGUUUGGUCAAAGCUCGGGAAUCGGUGGGAACAAAAGACUCUGCAAACAUUGGCUGAGCUCUCGCACAUAAACAACGCAGCGGAUGGAUCCGAUAGCAGAAUAAGUCAGAAAGGCUCUGAUUAUUAUUCAGGACACUAAGGUCCUCCCUCUCUAGCCCGAGUCGGAGCUUCGCCUGCAAAACUUUCCCUGGGAUGGAUCUUUUUAGAGGGAGGAGCGCUUCCAGAGAACAAAGGUGGCACUGAUUUACUGUGUAUUUAAAGUUUGGAAUUUAAAUGUUGGAUGACGCCUAAUGUGUCGCUUCUAGAAGCUACAAAGCAAGGAAUCUGCCUGCAUAUAUAUGCUGUCCUCCCGUUUUAACUCACACUUGGCAGGAGGCAGAGGACUUUGCAGUUGGGACACCUGACUAACUUUGAAUAAAUGAGCAAACAGCCCGCUGUGCCGCAGCCGGGGCGGAGCCUCAGGGCCCCUGAGCAGAGAACCGGAGACUCAAAACAUAACGGUAUACGCACAAACAAGGGACUUUCACCCCUGGGACAGCGGCCCUUGUCCCGUGCGAUCAGUUAAAGUUAUAGUAACUUCAUACGACGUGUGCCUUUUUCCAAUUUGUCAUUCUUGAAUAUCAGAAAAUGAUUUAUUUCAAACGCAGAAUGUAAUCAAUUGCACUAAAUGUGUUUUGACAAAUAAUGUUACUGCAUGCAAUUGGAAUUUUUGUUUCAUGACUAUUUACUUUUACUCUUCUAUAAUACACAUUUUUUAUCCGAUGCAUCAAUACACGGAUUGGUAGAAUACCGAAUUUCUGUCAUAACCAAAUGUCACGAAUGGUGACUGUGCAUUUCUUGUGUAGGACGAUGUUUAUUUUUAAUAGACAAAUGUCGGCCAUAGAGCGCCGUCCGUAGAGCACCGCCCGUAGAGCCACGCCCAUAGAGCGGCGUCCGUAGAGCACCGCCCGUAGAGCCACGGCCAUAGAGCGGCGUCCGUAGAGCACCGCCCGUAGAGCCACGGCCAUAGAGCGCCGUCCGUAGAGCACCGCCCGUAGAGCCACGGCCAUAGAGCGGCGUCCGUAGCGCACCACCCGUAAAGCCACGCCCGUAGAGUGCCGUCCGUAGAGCACCACCCGUAAAGCCACGCCCGUAGACACCGCCCAUAGAGCACCGCCCAUAGAGCACCGCCCGUAGAGCCACACCAGUAGAGCCACAGCCUUAGAGCACCGCCCGUAGAGUCACAACCAUAGAGCGCCGCCCGUAGAGCGCCGUAGUCCGAAGCUUCAACCUCAAACACUUCAAAGUCGACACACACAUGUUUUCACUCAGUCUUUACUACAUCGAUGCCCGCCGGGCUUUUCUGUGCAGACGGCACACGUUCCGCCACAUUCUAAAACACAUGCGCUAAGGGGAACUCUAAAUCUUUGGUGUGAAUGUGGUUGUGUAAAUACCAGUUGGGCCUAACAUGGACUGUUGAGACUCCAGCAGCUUGACCCUGAGCAGUUUAGAUGGUUUAACCAAAUGAGGAAGGGAGGGAUGGUUUCCCUUAAUACUCAAGGCAAGUCGGGAAAAUAAACUAUUUCACUAUUUGUUACGCAUCCCCGGAAAAGGCACAGCGGAGGUCAUCAUGAACUUUAUCAGUUGACUAUGUUAUUCCUCAAUGAAAGGAGCUGUGUACAUUUCUUUUUAGGACAUGUACAAAAAGAAACACAAAUGGAAGCAGAUAAGACAGGAAUAUUUGGAACCUGAUUUCCUGUUUCCACAAAUGGUGAACGGCCGUAUGUAUGUGCGUUGUUGUUGUCCAGGGGGAGCUGCGCUUCUGUGGAGUAAUGUUCUUCUCUUAACACUGCGCGAGGAUAACAGAUUUAGAUAAUAGAUGCAGAGGCCGCACACACAUGCUGUCAGCAUGUUAUGAAGUCUGCUGAUGGUAGAAAAGUUUGGUGAACUUCGCCCUCUGGUGGGAAUUGAGAGGAACGAGAACAAGGUGGAGAAGGACAGGAAUAUUACCAGCAGAAUGUAUCAAGACGUCAAAAGUACUCCUUCAUUAAGGACAACUCUGAGCGAUAUAUAUCAGUGUACAUGUCAUUCUAUUGCAUUUAUAAUAGUCACGGUUUAAGGGAGGUUUUAAUGUUGUAGCUAGUUGAACCACUAUGUACAAUGCUAAAGUCACAGUUAUAGUUUAUAUUUCAAAGGAAGAUCAUGUGAUUUGUUUUGUUGUUUGUUUUUAAAACAAGAAUGUAUAAACAUGUGUAUAUUUUACAUACAGUUUUACCUAAUAACUGUAGUACUUUACAUGUACUGUUUUGUUUUUACACCAAGUCAUUUUAGGGCAGCAACAAAUAAUUACUUUCAACAGAUCUUUUGGGUAGUCUUCCGAUCUACUGAUUGAUUUAUUACAUAAAAUGUCAGAAAUGUGGAAAUACUCUCAUUUAAGAGGCGAAACAACAAUUGUUAAAAAUAAUAGCAAAUUAUUGCUAUUAUUUCGCGUAGUUGUGACGGCUACAACGUGUUGUGUAGAUAAACAUUGAUCUAAGCAGCAGAAGUAUAUUUUACUCUCUAGAUAGCAAAAUACCUGUAGGGUUGCAUUUUGUUUGCAUUUUGUUUUGGAAGCCAAAACUGUUCCGCGAACAAAAGACGAGGGCUCGUCCGGGAUUUGAACCCGGGACCUCUCGCACCCUAAGCGAGAAUCAUACCCCUAGACCAACGAGCCAUGUGAAAUCCGAGGGAACUUACUGACUUUAAAUUCCAUCAUCUGAACUGUCUGUAAAGUUCAGAACACAUUGGAACGGCGGCUUUUUAAACGUUUGUCGAUAUCGCGGAAGAAAUAGAAGCAAUCGCUUGAAACGUAAAUACAACAAUUAAAGCGUAACGUGACCUGUUUUGGCAAACAUAAUCGGCGUUCCGUUGAAUCACAUCGUGGCUGUUGGCAAAAUGUAAAGUGUUUUAUUUUUACGUCUUAUUUAAAAAAAGAUUAUUUUUGGAACGUUGUCGAUGUUGUGACGUCACUUAACCACCGCCAGAGGGCGACAUUACACUGCGAAGACGAGCCUGAGGCAGGAGGCGUCACUCCUUGGGGGGUUUUGGACCUUUUUUUGUGUGCUAAUUCUGUUAUGUUCUUAUUUUCAAGAGUUUUUUCUUUAUUUGCUCAUUAUUCUUUCCUACAAUGUAAGAAUCUGUUUUUCUUCACUUGUCUAUCUGGACCACUUUAUGGAAUAAAAUAAAUGUACUUUUUAGUGAAAAAGACAAUAACCGUCUACACAUAUUUUCUUUCCUGAAACCAUGUUAUAUGAAAGAGAGAACAAGGUUGAAACCAAAUAUAGUAAAUGAAUCUCAAUUUUACUCUCUAAAUGUGGAAUGCAAUUAAUUCACUAAUGGUUUUGCAUAUUAAUGAACGUGUUAAUUAAUGACUGCAGAUGUACAUUAGCAUGUAGCUUAAUCUUGCAUAAAUCACCUCUUGAAGUGAUUCAUCAGUCUAUCUUUUUUUUAUUUUUUUAUUCCGGGACUCACUUUAGUGUUUCCAUUUACUUUAAUUAGACUAAUUUCUAGGAACUUUAUUAUAUUUCCUCCAUUCAGUUUGAACAGCAUACUGGUUUGUGUGUAAAUGUAAGAAAGUGGGAGUGGGUGAGCGCAUCAAUGUACUAUUGAUAUGACAAGAAAAUAUUGCUUUCAAGAAUGCAGGGAAUACACUUUUUUUAUUAUCAAGUAGCCGUGUCAGACUCAAUAAAUCUCAAGUAUACCAAGUGGAGACUACAAGGUAAUUCCCAAACAUCCAGACUUUUUCUGACAGGGUACUGGGUGGCACAGAGAAUGUGUGUGCAUACACAGUUUCUCCAGUAUAUUUAGAAAAUAGAAUUUUUAGCCCAGUG
ensembl:lncRNA